GAUGAACGCUAGCGGGAGGCCUAACACAUGCCAGCCGAGCGGUAUUUGUUCUUCGGAACAGAGAGAGCGGCGCACGGGUGCGGAACACGUGUGCAACCUGCCUUUAUCUGGGGGAUAGCCUUUCGAAAGGAAGAUUAAUACCCCAUAAUAUAUUGAGUGGUAUCAUUUGAUAUUGAAAACUCCGGUGGAUAGAGAUGGGCACGCGCAAGAUUAGAUAGUUGGUGAGGUAACGGCUCACCAAGUCAAUGAUCUUUAGGGGGCCUGAGAGGGUGAUCCCCCACACUGGUACUGAGACACGGACCAGACUCCUACGGGAGGCAGCAGUGAGGAAUAUUGGACAAUGGGUUAGCGCCUGAUCCAGCCAUCCCGCGUGAAGGACGACGGCCCUAUGGGUUGUAAACUUCUUUUGUAUAGGGAUAAACCUACUCUCGUGAGAGUAGCUGAAGGUACUAUACGAAUAAGCACCGGCUAACUCC
rnacentral:rRNA from 1 species